rnacentral:lncRNA from 1 species
UCGUAUUUUAUUUUGUGGUGUGAAAGUGUGGUGAGUGAAAAAUGGCUUAAAAAGAUUGCCUCAAAGAAUUAUCAGAGUAACAAAGUUCAAUUAUAUCUUUGUACGAUUGGUGGUUGAUGGUGUACCUUGAUGGUGGUGCUCUUUGGGAACCUUUAACAAAGGAGGCGGGUGUUAAAAAGUGGCGAGGAGGUAGACAGUUUUUGAAAAUUCCUUAAACGGAUAUGGGAA